rnacentral:pre_miRNA from 1 species
UAACUACUUCUUCCGUCCAGAAUUGCUUUGCGCUCAAAUGGAUGUAUCUAGACGUAUUUUAGUGCUAGAUACAUCCGUUUGAGCGUCAAGUAAUUCUGGACGGAGGGAGUACUAC